rnacentral:rRNA from 1 species
GUAGGUGGCAAGCGUUGUCCGGAAUUAUUGGGCGUAAAGCGCGCGCAGGUGGGUUCUUUAAGUCUGAUGUGAAAGCCCCCGGGCUCAACCGGGGAGGGUCAUUGGAAACUGGGGAACUUGAGUGCAGGAGAGGAAAGUGGAAUUCCACGUGUAGCGGUGAAACGCGUAGAUAUGUGGAGGAACACCAGUGGCGAAGGCGACUUUCUGGCCUGUAACUGACACUGAGGCGCGAAAGCGUGGGGAGCAAACAGGAUUAGAUACCCUGGUAGUCCACGCCGUAAACGAUGAGUGCUAAGUGUUGGGGGGUUUCCGCCCCUCAGUGCUGCAGCUAACGCAUUAAGCACUCCGCCUGGGGAGUACGGUCGCAAAGACUG